rnacentral:tRNA from 1 species
GGCGAGGUGCGGCGUCGUUGUUGGGUUUGUAGACAACGAGCCGGAGGCAUAGAAAGCGCGGCACGGAACUGCAAAACCGUUAUUCACCGGUUCGAUUCCGGUCCACGCCUCCA